ensembl:sense_intronic Gm26984 predicted gene, 26984
UUUUUUUUUUUUUUGGUUUUUUUGUUUUUAAAUGUUUAAAUCAUGAAGUAUUUGUCUUAGUCGAUAUUCUAUUGCUGUGAAGAGACACCAUGACCACAACAACUCUUAUAAAGGAAAUCAUUUAAUCGGGGCUGGUUUACAGUUCAGAGGUUCAGUCUGUUGUCAUUAUGGCAGGAAGCAUGGCAGACAUGGUGCUGGAGAAGUAACUGAGAGUUUCACAUCCACAGGCACCAGGAAGAACAGGACACUGGGCCUGACUUGAGCGUCUAAAGCCACAAAGCCUACCCGCAGUGACACACUUCCUCCAACAAGGCCACACCUCUUAAUCCCUGUCUCCACUCCCUAAUGACCAAACAUUCAAAUAUUGUGAGCCUAUGGGGGGGACACUCCUAUCCAAACCACCACAGAAUUUUCCCAUAUGUUAGCAAGUUCAGCUGAGGAAGUUCACUCUCUAUCUUGGCCCUGAUCAGCAUUGGGCUGCUUGCCUCUCUUCAGGUGAGCUUCACGAAUGUAUUCUCAACAUCCGCAAUAUCCAAGGUGAUCUCUGUAUGAUUUAGGUCAACUCUAUGAUUGAGCCAUAAAUAGUUAUUUACUUCUUGGACUUAGAGGCUCUGUCCCUGAAACAUACUAUCAAGAAAACAUCCUGGAACUUAUGGACCCUGCUUAUGGACACCUUGAUUUCAUCUUGGUGUACUAAUACAGAUGUGCACUUUCUUAAGAAAUAGAUGGAGUUAGUAUAAACACACUACAAUCAACAGUAUAUCCCCAGUAUAUAACCAACACUGCGCAGCCUGGAGCAGGCUGGUCCUGAAGAGGGCUGAGGCCGAUACUAAAGCAGGAAGGGGUGGCAUUUUCUUACUCUGUCAGUCCUCUGGGUUUGAGACUUUAUUUCCAAAGUCACAUCAGAAAAAUGUGAACUUGAUUGACACAUACGUAUGAUAGCGAAGAGUUCAGCCAGGACAUAUAUUCAACAGCACACAUCAGAUUGGCCUCUAAGAGGAUAUGCUGGUACCUCAUAGCCCUCAAAUGACCAAGCAUCAGCCAUGAGCUACCUCCUCCUGCUUGCAAAGACCAUCUCCCAAGCAAAACACCCAUGAUUCUGCUCAUGAUAGUCUAUGUAAGCAGCUUCUCCUGGAGGGCUGUCUGUGGGAAGAGAUUUCAGGGUGUACUCUAGAUGGCCUCGUCACAAUGUGGAUGACACACCAGCAGCUAAUCUAGGUUCUUCUCUCUCUGAGAGUCUCUGAUAUGAGAGUUGAAAUGAGCAGAGUAUCAAGCAAAUGGCCUAUCUAAGGGGAUGCUGACGUGGGAGUCGCCUCUGAAAACUUUAUCCAUGAAUUGUUGGAACUCUUUCCAGGAAAAGUUUUUAACGAAGAAAAAGUGGACCGGAGCCCAACCACUCCUCAGAACCAGUGGGAGCUCUUCCAGGAAAAGACCUUAGUCCAGGAGUGGUCAGCCAGUCAGUCCAGGACAGCAGCAGCCAGCACUCCGAUCUGCUCAUGUUGCUCAAAAUGAAAGAUCCACUAUUUCCAGGAAGGAACCAGAGCUUGAGAGACACCAUGGGACAGGUUGCAGGUUGCGAUAGCACCAUCAGGAAAAGCAUCUGGUUAGAAGAAAGUGAUUUUGACCACGCCCGGCAGAAAGUGAUUUUGAAUGGGUUUAUAUCACCUCACUUGAUCAGGACUGAAGGAUAGAGGGCUCCAAACCCCUCUCCUCCUCCAAACACCCAGGUGAUACCUCCGCCUAUAGGAUUGAAGACAGUGUAGCCACGCUCCCAACCCCGUCCCUACUCUUGCCAAGGGAAAGAAUCUAAGUCCUUGCACUGUUCCUUGCCCUGAGUGGGGCAUUUAAACAAGGCAGCAGCAGUUGGUUCUGGUUUGAGUAUGGAAGCAGAGGCAGGUUAUCCUGCCUCAGGGUUGUGGUUUGAAUAUGAAUUGAACGCCUUAGGCUCAAGUGCUUAAACAACUGGUGUCCAGCGGGCGGCGCUGUGGUGGAAGGUUAUGGAGCUUGAGGAGUUGGAGUUUCACUGGAGGAAAUGGAUGACUGGGAUUUUGUAGCCUGUUUCCUGUUCUGCCUCAGCUCUCCUUGGCUGGAGAUAACAGCUAACAAGCUGCCUCCUGCUCCUCCUACCCUGCCUUCCCUGACUCGAGGGGCUGUGUUCCCUCAAACUGCAAGCCAGGAUAAGCCCGCCCUCUGCUAAGUUGUUCCUUGUCGGGUGUUUUGUCACAGUACUGAGAACAAAGCUAACUAACCCUAUCAGGUCUGUGUGCAUACACGCCACUGCCUGCCCAUCGCAAGCCGUGAGACACUGACUGAUAAGCAACUUACUUGUGCAAGUGAAAGAAAGCCACCUAAGUUGUUUGGGGAUUUGUGGGUGCGUGGUGUAUUCAGACCACAGCAUGAAGUCCAGACUUACUGAAGCACCAGACCAACAGAGAGUGAGACAUCCUCAGCUAAACCUGUCGUCUGACCAUCCUGUGCUAGGCCAAGGGACCCACACACAGGGAACUCCCAGCUGUCCCAAGGAUGUCAGCUCAGCACAGUCACCAACAAUUGACAAGAUUCAUUCAGGUUGCCUCCCAUCCAUCCUUCCAAAUCUAGCAUUUCGCCUCCUCCUAUUCCUGUGCCGGUCAGCACUGACUCUGUGCCUGCCUUCAGCAAAUCUCCAACUAUAUUUCCUUAUGUUUCAUCUAACCAUCUCUAUCAGGUCUGUCUCUGCCUUCAGUAAAGCCCUCAUGAAUUACAGCCUCCUUAACCUCUUUAUAAUCCUGUAAUUCCCUGCGUGUGUGUGUGUGUGUGUGUGUGUGUGUGUGUGUGUGUGUGUGUGUGUGUUGUGAGUUGGGGGUUUACCUAAGCGUUAAUAUUGGUAAUAGAAGAACCUGUGAUUGCCGUGGUUAUGUUGUAGAGCAGUGGUUCUCACCCUUCUUGAUGCUGUAACCCAUUACUACAGUUCCUCGUGUUGUGGUGACUUCCAAGAUUAAAGUUAUUCAGUUGCUACUUCAUAACUGUAAUUUUGCUACUGUUACGAAUCAUAACAUAAAUUUCUGAUGUGUGACCCACAGGUUGAGAACUACUACUGUAAAGAGCUAUCAGAACUAUUUUAUAAACUACAGCCAACAAAAACAAUAAAUCUUACAAAUGUGUUGUUAUUCAGUAAUUUAUGACGGGGUGAAAAGACACAAAUAUGUCUGUCCAUGUUUCUGACAUCAUGUGCUCAUGACAGACAUAAUUCUUCAGUUUUAUCUUCUGAUAGCAAAAUAAAAAGAAAGGCAUAAUCCUCAAGAGGCCAAGGUCCUGCCUUAUGUUGUCAGAGAUUUGUCUGUCUUUCUGAUAGUUUAAACUGUGUAAUAAACUUGGUGUUUUUUUUUUAAUAAUAAAUAGAUGGAACCAGAGGGAAUCCAAAUGAAAAAUUAGUUAGUUCAUAAAAAUAAACUAUUCUAAAGUGCCAGAUAUUUUAAAAGAUUUAUUUCGUGUUCGAAAAUAAAACUCCAAUGACAAUCUAUUUUUCAGAAUUUCUCAGCU